AGUGAACGCUGGCGGCAGGCCUAAUACAUGCAAGUCGAACGGCAGCACAGCAGAGCUUGCUCUGUGGGUGGCGAGUGGCGGACGGGUGAGGAAUACGUGGGAAUCUGCCCAGUCGUGGGGAUAACGUAGGGAAACUUACGCUAAUACCGCAUGCGCCCUUCGGGGGAAAGCCGGGGACCUUCGGGCCUGGCGCGAUUGGAUGAGCCCACGUCGGAUUAGCUAGUUGGCGGGGUAAAGGCCCACCAAGGCGACGAUCCGUAGCUGGUCUGAGAGGAUGAUCAGCCACACUGGAACUGAGACACGGUCCAGACUCCUACGGGAGGCAGCAGUAGGGAAUAUUGGACAAUGGGCGCAAGCCUGAUCCAGCCAUGCCGCGUGAGUGAAGAAGGCCCUCGGGUUGUAAAGCUCUUUUGUCCGGAAAGAAAGCGCCGGGUUAAUACCCUGGUGUCCUGACGGUACCGGAAGAAUAAGCACCGGCUAACUUCGUGCCAGCAGCCGCGGUAAU
rnacentral:rRNA from 1 species